ACGUCAAUGCGAAGUUGGUUUAGCCCUUUGUACAGUGUGUUAGCCUCCUGUGCUCUAAGUUGCCUCUCACAGUAGCGGCACAAUGAAUGAAUUGUGAUCAUUGACAACACAUGGAUCCCACAUAGCACGUCCCAGCUCUGACCUCUGACCUCACUGAGAUUGAAAACUCCUGCCAUCAGUAACCUCCUCAUGUGCAUCAUCUUCUUGAAGUUUGACCCUCGGCCUGCAUCCAAAAAUGCCUACAGGCUUAUUCUGGCUGCUAACAGAGAUGAGGUCUACAGCAGACCGUCCAAAGCUGCAGACUUCUGGGGCAGCAACAAUGAGUUCCUC